rnacentral:rRNA from 1 species
UUAAAUGAGAGUUUGAUCCUGGCUCAGGACGAACGCUGGCGGCGUGCCUAAUACAUGCAAGUAGAACGCUGAAGAAAGGAGCUUGCUUCUUUUGGAUGAGUUGCGAACGGGUGAGUAACGCGUAGGUAACCUGCCUUGUAGCGGGGGAUAACUAUUGGAAACGAUAGCUAAUACCGCAUAAUAGCUUUUGACACAUGUUAGAAGCUUGAAAGAUGCAAUUGCAUCACUACGAGAUGGACCUGCGUUGUAUUAGCUAGUAGGUAGGGUAACGGCCUA